GGCCGGCUAGCUCAGUUGGUUAGAGUGUGGUGCUAAUAACACCAAGGUCGUGGGUUCAAGCCCCAUGUUGGCCA
rnacentral:tRNA from 1 species